CCCUCUAAAUGACUUUGCUUCUAGCAGUUUCCGGGGGUGGGGGUGGGGGAGCUUUCCUAAAUAUAUUCCUUGUUUCUCUUUGAAGCACUUUUAAGUGUGUGUGUGUGUGUGUGUGUGCAUACAAUUGCAAGAAAGUCCAUGAGAAGAAAGCAUUGUAAGAACCUUGCCACCAUGGCACGCACCACCUGCAAGCUCCUUAAAGACAGCUGCAAAAUCAGGUUGUUCCUUGAAGUCCGCCCAACAGAAUCUGCUUGCAAAUGUCCAGCCUGGUGUGCG
rnacentral:lncRNA from 12 species